CCUACGGGCGGCACCAGUGGGGAAUAUUGGACAAUGGGCGAAAGCCUGAUCCAGCGACGCCGCGUGUGUGAAGAAGGCCUGCGGGUUGUAAAGCACUUUCGAUGGGAACGAAAUGUGCCGGGCUAAUACCCCGGCAAGCUGACGUUACUCAAUGAAGAAGCACCGGCCAACUCUGUGCCAGCAGCCGCGGUAAUACAGAGGGUGCGAGCGUUAAUCGGAAUUACUGGGCGUAAAGCGCACGUAGGUGGCGACGUAAGUCGGGUGUGAAAGCCCCGGGCUCAACCUGGGAAUUGCAUUCGAGACUGCAUCGCUGGAGUACGGAGGAGGAAGGCGGAAUUCCCGGUGUAGCGGUGAAAUGCGUAGAUAUCGGGAGGAACAUCAGUGGCGAAGGCGGCCUUCUGGUCCAGUACUGACACUCAAGUGCGAAAGCGUGGGGAGCAAACAGGAUUAGAUACCCGUGUAGUC
rnacentral:rRNA from 1 species